UACGGGGGGGGGGCAAGCGUUGUUCGGAAUUACUGGGCGUAAAGGGCGCGUAGGCGGCCUGCUAAGUCGGAUGUGAAAUCCCUCGGCUCAACCGAGGAACUGCAUCCGAUACUGGCGGGCUUGAAUCCGGGAGAGGGAUGUGGAAUUCCAGGUGUAGCGGUGAAAUGCGUAGAUAUCUGGAGGAACACCGGUGGCGAAGGCGGCAUCCUGGACCGGUAUUGACGCUGAGGCGCGAAAGCUAGGGGAGCAAACGGG
rnacentral:rRNA from 1 species